rfam:Lactococcus lactis subsp. cremoris TIFN6 scaffold202.1_0, whole genome shotgun sequence.
CAUAAAAACUUUAAACACAAGUUUUAAGUUUGAAAGAUGCAAUUGCAUCACUCAAAGAUGAUCCCGCGUUGUAUUAGCUAGUUGGUGAGGUAAAGGCUCACCAAGGCGAUGAUACAUAGCCGACCUGAGAGGGUGAUCGGCCACAUUGGGACUGAGACACGGCCCAAACUCCUACGGGAGGCAGCAGUAGGGAAUCUUCGGCAAUGGACGAAAGUCUGACCGAGCAACGCCGCGUGAGUGAAGAAGGUUUUCGGAUCGUAAAACUCUGUUGGUAGAGAAGAACGUUGGUGAGAGUGGAAAGCUCAUCAAGUGACGGUAACUACCCAGAAAGGGACGGCUAACUACGUGCCAGCAGCCGCGGUAAUACGUAGGUCCCGAGCGUUGUCCGGAUUUAUUUGGGCGUAAAGCGAGCGCAGGUGGUUUAUUAAGUCUGGUGUAAAAGGCAGUGGCUCAACCAUUGUAUGCACAAGCUAUGAAAAGUAAAUACACCAAAUUAUUGCUUGAAAAUUUCCUUUUAUCGCCUUAUGAAAUGACCGACCCAACAAUUAUGGCUGACUUGCAACAGAACCAAAUUUACUUUGUUCACAACCUUG